rnacentral:lncRNA from 10 species
GGGAGCCGCAUAAGGUGUUUGAGCAAGAGAGUGACAUAAUCAGAGCUAUGCUGGAGGAGAAGAGGGCAGCCAUUUGCUGGCUGGCUUGCAGUGAGCCAGGAGGUGGCAGGACGAGUUAGGAGGCUGGUUCAGUAGCUCGGGCAAGAGCAGGGAAGCCUGAGCAGAUCAGGCAGAGGGGGCCUGCCAGCCCAGGGGCCUCCCAGCACAUGCCACCUCUGUUCUGGGCAGUCCCCUGUCACAUCCCCCUACCUCAUCCUUCACCUCCCCAGGAGGAGUGACUGAUUCUGUUCCUUUGUAUCCUUAGGGCCCCCCAGGAUCUGAAGGCCUCCCAGGCCCCCCAGGCCCAGCGGGUCCCAGAGGAGAGCGAGGACCCCAAGGUAACUCCGGUGAGAAGGGCGACCAGGGAUUUCAAGGCCAGCCAGGCUUUCCGGGCCCACCGGGUCCCCCUGGAUUCCCAGGCAAAGUUGGAUCACCUGGCCCACCUGGCCCUCAAGCAGAGAAGGGCAGCGAAGGGAUUCGAGGCCCAUCAGGCCUGCCUGGCUCCCCUGGGCCACCGGGACCUCCUGGGAUUCAGGGCCCCGCCGGUCUGGAUGGUUUGGAUGGGAAGGACGGCAAGCCUGGCUUGAGGGGGGACCCUGGUCCUGCUGGCCCCCCUGGACUCAUGGGACCACCGGGCUUUAAGGGGAAAACAGGACAUCCUGGCCUCCCAGGACCUAAGGGUGACUGUGGCAAACCAGGUCCCCCUGGCAGCACUGGCCGGCCUGGCGCAGAGGGUGAACCUGGUGCCAUGGGACCCCAGGGAAGACCCGGUCCCCCGGGACACGUU